UCCGGUUUGUCACCGGCAGUCACCUUAGAGUGCCCAACUGAAUGCCGGCAACUAAGAUCCAGGGUUGCGCUCGUUGCGGGACUUAACCCAACAUCUCACGACACGAGCUGACGACAACCAUGCACCACCUGUCACUCCGUCCCCCGAAGGGGAACCUUCUAUCUCUAGAAGUAGCGAAGGAUGUCAAGACCUGGUAAGGUUCUUCGCGUUGCUUCGAAUUAAACCACAUGCUCCGCCGCUUGUGCGGGCCCCCGUCAAUUCCUUUGAGUUUUAGCCUUGCGGCCGUACUCCCCAGGCGGGGCGCUUAAUGCGUUAGCUGCGGCACGGAGGUCGUAGAAAAACCCCCACACCUAGCGCCCAACGUUUACAGCGUGGACUAC
rnacentral:misc_RNA from 1 species